CACUAACUUUAAUGUUAAUUGAUGAAGGGGUAGGUGGAGACACAGACCAAAAAGAAACCCCCUCCUUCACAUUCCCUCAUUCAUCCCAUAUUUGCACCCCCUUUCCAGAAAAUCCUUGCUACACCUAUGAAUACUAUUACAGUGAUUAACUAAAAUUUAAAAGAGUGUAGAGACUAGAGUAGAUCUAUAUAUCAUGCAAAUACAAUUGAAAAUUGCCUGGAAAUGCAUUACUCCACAAAUUAUUUCCUACUGAAUAUGCCAUAAUCAAAGUGAUGGUGUAUGACUGGUGUCAUAAAAAAGUGUCCGGUAAUUCCCCGGCAUGACCGAUAAUACCCACUGUGAACACCUCAGAUUGAUUGUAUACGUAACAAGUCAUAUGACGUAAUAGCGACCAAUCUAUUUUUGAGAAAUGGAAAGUACACAUGCAGCUGUAAAGUGAGAGAGGAUUUCUGUGUCUUGUUUAUGUACUGGACAGAAGAUACCCUACAUUUCUUCAAAAUAAUUGAUAAACAGAAAAAUGUUGGAAAUAUGACCCAAGCUAUGAAUUUAGUAGACUGUUGUCAAGGGAUACAGCAUUUAUGAUUGUGAAGCCACGGACAGCUUUUAGCCAAACCAAAAAUGUCGCAAAGGUUGGAGAAAUGGCUAUUUCUUUCCUGUCUGAGGAUCUGGCUAUUAUGCUGUUUGCUCAGAGGAGAUCAUUACAUGCCAGUGUUUUGUCAUUACAAAAUAAGGCUUGACAACUGUCGUGAGUAGUAAACCUGAUUGAUGAUGAAGAUACAAAAUUGUGACUGUGUCCAGUUAUAAAGCACAUCACAAAGAAAACUAUAACCAGUCCAUUGUUACACCAAAAACUCUGGCAGCUUGUUCUGUUGAAAGUCUUAUUCCCAUAAAUGAAUGAAAAUGCAAUUGAGGAGCAUUAUAAAAUUUUCACAAUAGACAAUGUAAAUGAAGAAAGAGCUGCAAGUUUUCAGAAAGGUGGUAAAAACGAAAGUUUUGACCCAAGAAGUUUGAAUAAGAAAUAGUAAAUAAAAGGGGAAAAACGGAACAGGUGGAGAUGGUUUGGAAACAGCAAGUGUUAAGGAAGAAUUUAUGUAAGAUAUAUUAGAUACAACACUAGAAAAGAGUAAUUUUGAAAAGAUAACAUAGAUUACUGAAAAUGUCAAUAGAAUGAACUGAGAAGAAAUAUCAAAUUGCAAAUUAGAACAGCUUAUAGAUUCAGCUGAGAAAACAGGCUAGGGCAUUGGGUCUGGAGAAUUGCAUGUUGUUGAAAAUGUCGAAGUUGAACCAGAAGAUUCUUGCACUCAAAACAACAGACGAGAAUAUAUAGGAACUGGAAAUUAUAUCAAACAUGCAUGCAUUGGAAAGCUCAGAUUCUUUAGCGUUGUUAAAAAUGAAACAGGUAGUUCUGAUCAAAAGACAAAACAAUUUUUAAAACAUAACAGAUGAGGAUAUACAGGAACUGGAAAUUAUAUCAAACAUGCAUGCAUUGGAAAGCUCAGAUUCUUUAGCGUUGUUAAAAUGAAACAGGUACUUCUGAUUUUUAGUUUUAGAAAAACAGUUGUUAAAACACACUGUAAAAGCAGUACCUUGAAACACAGAUCAAGGUUGAAGAUAUAAAUGAUUAACAUAAUGGAACUUUUAAUGAUAUCCUAAUUCAGUCAUACAUGGAAUCCAUGAAGUAUUCUGACACACAGAAUCAGUCGGAUUUCAGACAUAUAGUCAGUCUGUAAUUAUGUUGAACAUUCUUUUACGUAAAGUAGCUGAGCAAGAACAGCUCUUUGUAGAUGUAGGAUGAUGGAUCAGGCAUUGAACAGACGAUGUGCAAGAACAAAAACUGUAUAAAUGGUAAAUAUGAGUAAGUGCAUUAUGUAUACAGGCUGCAAUGUUCCUGGUGAAAGGUGUUACAUGUAAGAAAAAGAGAAAGAAGAUGAAUAAAGUGUCUGUAAAUAUCAAGAAACAGAAAUGUGUACAACAAAAAACAAAGUAUUCAAACAUUAGAUCAGGAUUCAAUCAUAAAGGCCAAGAUAAUAAAAAAGCAAUUGAAUCAGGGCCAAACUUUAUCUUUCUUUCUCGAAAGUAAAUAUAAAUGAAAAGUUAGUUGUAGAAAAAAUUUAAAGUUAUUAUUAAGAUAAACUCACAGAAUGUCUUAGCAGUGAAAGUUUGAAACAUGACUUGAUAGGUUUGUAGGAUUUGUCUGCAUUGAUGCAUUGAAUGUAAAUGUUUUAAGUGGAAAUGCUUUAAACUUGAAGAGGAGAGACUGCUCUACAUGUUGUUGAUGUGGGAUGAAUUCUUCAGGAUGGACAGUUUUGACAACUUUCAGCAGAAAAUAAAUUCAUUUUUAUAAGGAACUUGUAAGAAGUAAGUGAAAAGUAUAGCAGGACUGCUUUAGACACAGUGUUAAUAGUCUCCAAUGUGAGAAAAAGGUAAGUUUGUAGAUAUAUAGACAAAAUGUGUUUGUUUCAGUAUGGAUUGAAAUAUCUUUCACAGACUUGACAACUUCAAUCACCAUGGUAGUCACAAGUGAAAGAUAAGUUGAUCUUUGUUGUAAACAGAUAUAUAUGUUAGUUAUGCUGUGAAAUCAUUUCAUUUCGUGGGCAAAAAUUUCACACUUUUUGCUAAAGCAGAUAUUUCAUGACUUAUAAUUUGUCAGUUUCAACUUUUGAGCAUAAAAUUAACUGGAAAUUUAUAUUAAUGAUUUGUGAAAUCCACAAAAAUAGGUACCCAUCUAUUUUGAUGAUUGACAGCAUUCUAUGCCUUUUUACUUGUUUGAAAAAUGUGUUAAUCAGUUGUUAGUCAAGUGCUGAAAGUCAGUUUUUGCUGUUGCAACACUAACUGGAAGAUCUUGGAAUUAGAUUUAGAUUCAAACAUGCCAUGCACACCAGACAUGCAGCAACAUGACUACUGUACUUACCAGUAGUAUAAAUGUUACAUUGUUGUUAACUAUCUUUUUGCACAAGUUGUGUUGAUUAUAGUCUGGAGUUACUUAGGUGCAUAAAUUGUAUUGAGCCACACCGUGAGAAAACCAACAUGCAUUUGUGACAAGCAUGGAUCCAGGCCAGCCAGCGCAUCCGUGCAGUGUGGUCAG
rnacentral:lncRNA from 1 species